AACCCACGCCAACACGGGGAGUACAUGCAAACUCCACACAGAAAUGGCAACUGAUCCCGCCGAGGCUCGAACCAGCGAAGCGACACCGCGUCGCUCGCGAAAUAAUGAACUCGAGUUCGCCAAAGAUAUGAAGGUUUUCAUCAUAUUCAUGGUUGAUUGUCGCCACCUAUUGGCUCAAUAUUGUAAUUGCUACAAGUUUGGAGUGACAAGCCGCUUUGUUUUAAACUGUGAUUUUAAUUUUUACCAAAAACAUCAGUGUUUAAAUAAACUGGUAUCACAUCACUUCUGUGCUAUUUUAAUGUUUGUAAAUCAAAAAUAACGUUAUACUGGGUGAAAAAUCUAUUGAAUCUCUCUGUCAAACGCAAAUUUAAAUGCGUUGCAUCGGUUGAUUAUUUAAGAUCCUUUAUGUUAGAUUGACACCCUGUGGUUGUACUAGUUAUUACAGUUCAAGUUUAAAAUAUUUUUUUCACCCCGCCCCUCUGACGACGACUUCCACGCGAUGCAAGUUGCCAGAUAACUAUCGAAGCAUCGGAUGUACACCGUAACUCACGCGACACGUGUUUUUAGGAGUUUAUCGCCUGGCUAUCGGUUUUAUUUAAGAUCUUCGUCAAAAGGACUUAAAAACCAACAUGUGCAGCGUUUUUCGAAGUCGUUAUUCCACACGUUUAAUCCCUUAACAAAGGUGUAUGAUCUGUGUCCAUCACCGAUCAGCUGGGUCUUCUCACUUGCAUUGGUUGGCUGCAGCACAAUCGGAGUGUCACCAUCUGGAAAAGCAGAAUCACAGGUCUUCAGGAGACACGUAGACCUCUGGAUCCUCUUCUCCAGGUGUGUGCGGUUUGCACUUUCCACAACAGCAGUUGAAACAGCAGCACAGACAACAGCAGAAAUAGCAACCUGUCAGCAAGCCGCAAAUAGCAAACAGACCCUAUAAAUGAAAAGAUUUCUCCCCCUCAGGAUGCCCCACGGGUUGCCCUGCAGCAGUAUAACAUUUUAUGCAGGUUUUAACCCAAAUGACAAGCGAAACCUACAAGUUUGAUCUCAGCAUCGGGAUAUUACCACUGAAGGUAAGGUUGGUGUGUUUCCAUGGUGCUCUGAAAUCUGCACUCCAGAAUCACUCAUGCACUUACACGCAUCCUGCACCCCCAACAUCUCAUGUAAGACUCCUUCAUCAUUCCUGAUAUCCCAGUAAAAUACCCAAUGCCAUCUGUUCAGCAUAAUGAAUAUUUUAGGUUUGUGGAAGUCAUAUUAUAUUCAUGCAGCUCCACUGCAACUGAAGGCUGAGAUUAUCGGGGAAGUAGGCGCAGUUUCGCAAUUUCUUCAUCUUUUGCUCCCUCAAAAGAGCAACCAGAAGCCAAAGUAAAUGCAUCUCCGGACGAAUAAGAGUGUGAAUCACG